rnacentral:rRNA from 1 species
AUUGAACGCUGGCGGCAGGCCUAACACAUGCAAGUCGAGCGGAUGAAGGGAGCUUGCUCCUGGAUUCAGCGGCGGACGGGUGAGUAAUGCCUAGGAAUCUGCCUGGUAGUGGGGGAUAACGUCCGGCAACGGGCGCUAAUACCGCAUACGUCCUGAGGGAGAAAGUGGGGGAUCUUCGGACCUCACGCUAUCAGAUGAGCCUAGGUCGGAUUAGCUAGUUGGUGGGGUAAAGGCCUACCAAGGCGACGAUCCGUAACUGGUCUGAGAGGAUGAUCAGUCACACUGGAACUGAGACACGGUCCAGACUCCUACGGGAGGCGGCAGUGGGGAAUAUUGGACAAUGGGCGAAAGCCUGAUCCAGCCAUGCCGCGUGUGUGAAGAAGGUCUUCGGAUUGUAAAGCACUUUAAGUUGGGAGGAAGGGCAGUAAGUUAAUACCUUGCUGUUUUGACGUUACCAACAGAAUAAGCACCGGCUAACUUCGUG